CGCCGGACGAAAGCCGUGGGUGCUCCGCUCGUCGCGGAGAAAAGGGAAGCCGGUUCGAAGCCGGCGCGGUUCCGCCACUGUAAUCGGGUCAAGGCGCUUCCAAGGACGUGGCCACUCUCCCUCGCGUGGGAGGGGAAGGCCGGGAGCGCUGCAGGUCGCCUCGCGCGGCCUGCGCCCGAGAGCCAGGAAACCUGCCCAAGGCUGAAACGAAGA
rnacentral:ncRNA from 1 species